GAUCACAGCAGCCGGGUCCUUCCUGAAGGCCUUUCGGUCGGUGACAUUCUCUCGCUUCUUCUCCCCUGAGGCCGGAGAGAAGAGCGAUGCUCGGCCAGUAACCCAAACCUUCUCCCUGGAGAGCAGACCUUGAGGACAAGCGGUAUCAGAUGAGAUGCGGAAAACUGACAAGGCACAGAGAUUGAAGCGAUGGGAGUAAGGCGAGCGGGACAUCCGAGGCGCGGCAGAAGCCGGUGUGCGCAGGUCGGGCCGAUACACAUCGGUGAAAAAUAUGAGUGGGCUGAUGGUAAUCACACACAGGAAGUGACUGCACGCCACGGCAAGGAAACCGCAAGAGAGAGGCUGACCUUACUAGAACUGAGCGCCGCCGACGCGAGAAGCUGGGCUCAUGGAGCGGUAAAUGCUCCCAUGGUACACCUGUUCUCAGGGUCACGGCUGCCAACUCGACCUCUCGCAACCAAGAGGCUGACAGGCUGGGCGCAGUAAUGCGUCUGUGAUGGCCGUGGUGUGCUCGACUUACUCGGCUGGACCCCCGAUCGCCUCGCGACUUUCCCUCCUGAAAACGUAUUAUGGCUCAUAAACACCAGGACCCCAGGGGCGAGCGGAGCAGACACCGCCAUGAUCCCCCCGAAGCCCUGGAUGAGGACGAGUACCACAUCCCAGACGGCGGGUGUGAUGGGGAGUCGGCCCUCAUCCAGCCGGCCAGACCGAGCUGCAGCCAAUCUGAAUACGUUGACAGGAGUCGUCCAAGAAUGGCACGCGGUUUCUAUGCUGUGGACUGUAACCUCUCAAAAGCUCUGCCCAGUAUUCCCAUAAGAGCAAAUCAAGGGCCUGCUGUGAACAGGAACCUGAAGCCGGGGAGGCAGGCGAGGGGCCGCACGGGCCCCGCAGGUGACUUCCUCGUAUUUCAUAUUUCUCAGUCAUGA
ensembl:lncRNA